UCGGGCCCGUCAGGUUCCAGGGAAGUUUUCCUGCCAACAGGCAGGCUGGAGGCGUGGACAGGAAAUGAGAGCUGGAGGGCGUUAGCGAUAGCCUGAGCUCCAGAACAGGCAGCAAAAUGCCCCGCUGACCGAUCUCCAUUCGGCAUCAGAUGGAGGGUGUCUUCCAAGAACCCGGGGAGCAGCCUGGAGUUGAUUUCAGAAGUCUGGGCUCGGCCCCAGGCCGACAACCCUGCAGCUUGGCAGGGCAACAGUGAGGCAUGGGGCAGAGCCCGCUCAGCAGGCACCCGCUUAAUGAAAUCACCAGCUGGGAGGUCUGCAAGCCUGUGAGGGCAGAUGCCAGACCUGCUGCGCUCUAAUUCACUGUUGAAUUAGCCACACCUAGUGCAGUGCCCGGCACAUGCUUUCCUGCCCUUGGCCAGACUUGGCUGAGCUCCACAUGUCCUAGGCUGAAGAACCAACCAUAAUCUAGAACACGCUGCUCUCAUGGGGGAGGCAGGCCGGAGACAGCAAGCAGAAGAUGCUCUUCAAAGCUCUUCUGGGACCUGGAACACCAGUUCAACCUGUCUGCACUCCAGUGGCCACAGCAAGUCACGUGCCCCAGCCCGGUCACAGUGGGGAGAGGCUGUGUAAUCCUCUUGCAAGA